AGGGUUUGAUCCUGGCUCAGAACGAACGCUGGCGGCAGGCCUCAAACAUGCAAGUCUAGGGGGUGUAGCAAUACAUCACCGGCGGACGGGUGCGUAACGCGUGGGAAUAUACCUAUUGGUUCGGAACAACACAGGGAAACUUGUGCUAAUACCGAAUGUGCCCUUACGGGGAAAGAUUUAUCGCCAAUGGAUUAGCCCGCGUCCGAUUAGCUAGUUGGUGGGGUAACGGCCCACCAAGGCUCCGAUCGGUAGCUGUUCUGAGAGGAAGAUCAGCCACACUGGGACUGAGACACGGCCCAGACUCCUACGGGAGGCAGCAGUUGGGAAUCUUGGACAAUGGGGGAAACCCUGAUCCAGCCAUGCCGCGUGAGUGAUGAAGGCCUUCGGGUUGUAAAACUCUUUCGACGGGGACGAUAAUGACGGUACCCGUAGAAGAAGCUCCGGCUAACUUCGUGCCAGCAGCCGCGGUAAUACGAAGGGGGCUAGCGUUGUUCGGAAUUACUGGGCGUAAAGCGCGCGCAGGCGGUUUUUCAAGUCAGUGGUGAAAGCCCGGAGCUCAACUCCGGAACUGCCAUUGAAACUGUAAAACUUGAGGAUGAGAGAGGUGAGUGGAAUUCCCAGUGUAGAGGUGAAAUUCGUAGAUAUUGGGAAGAACACCGGUGGCGAAGGCGGCUCACUGGCUCAUAUCUGACGCUCAGGCGCGACAGCGUGGGGAUCAAACAGGAUUAGAUACCCUGGUAGUCCACGCCGUAAAC
rnacentral:rRNA from 1 species